AUGUUGAAGCUGGUCCCCUGUUUGGAAGUUGUGCAGCUCUUUAAAGCAAGCAUUUAACUAGCAAUUAGAGGUAGGUCUUGUUUCUGAUCACCUUUGUCAAGCUCUUCCCAGUUCAUCCAGCAUGGCUUUAUUCCUAAUUUUCUUCUAAUGUUGCUGCUUAUCCUCGGUUUCCAUAGGCUUGCAAGUAUUGAGCAAGUUGAGGUUUCUUCCUUGCAUGGUUGA
rnacentral:misc_RNA from 1 species